UCGUAUGUCAUCAUAUUUUACAAACUAGGAACAAGUAGAAUUCAGUCCUUGAGCAGUGGAGAUAUAAUGAGUGUUAAGACAACUAAAGUUGAGAAGUGGUGCACGAUUGCAAUCACCAUAUUUGGCCUGGCUGCUCUCGUACUCUUUAUUUGUAUGGCUAUAUGGUUUGUACCUGAAUGGGAACAAGAAACAGUGGAGUCAACGACAAUCGUAGGAGUGAAAAAUAUACUUGGCGGGAUAGAAGAUAUUGCGGCAAAAGGGGUCGUUAUCGACGGAGCCAGUUCGUUAAAGGAUCAAUAUGUAUGAACAGCAUGAACACACUGGCGUAAUGAUUCAACCAAACAGUGCCUGGAUAUAUAUGAGUUGUACAAGAUGUUAGAAACACAAACACAUUAUAUAAUACACGUGGUUAUAGUCGGUCAGGUCUAUUCGACCUGCAAUAGUGUAUAUUAUGCGUACGUCAAAUUUUUAAAAAGUUGCAUUCUCACUUUGCGUGUCCUGUGAAAAAUCUCUCACUGUCCCCCGACAUUUCCACUUUGUGUGAUCCGUAGAACACCUUUCACUGACCCCUGUAAACAUAAGGGCUUUGGAUUUUGUACAGUUAAUUGAGAAAUCGUAUUCAAGGGAAUCCAAAAAUCAAAUAUACAAAAAUAUCAAAAAUAAAGCGGGCUUGAAUGAUCACAGAUAAGAAUUAUGUUUGAUUUGGUAAUGAAACACCUCAACUUUUUGGGCAGGCUAGCUUCAGUACUCCAAUGUUUCAUGAUUCGUUUCUAAAGCAACUGACUUUAA